UGAAGAUAAGGAGUUUUUGGAGUAUAUGUUGUGCUGGGAUGCAAAGAGGAAGGAGAUGUACGAGAAGAGGCUCAGAGAGGAGGCUGCGGAAAAGGAGCACAAGGAAGAGGAGGAAAGGAGGCGUGUUGCUGUGAACAGGGAGGAGAAGGAGAAGAAGCUUGAGCGUGCACGCCGAGCGAAAGCAGUGAUUGAGGAGAAUUUCGAUGCCUUGAGGAAGGGAAAGUG
rnacentral:lncRNA from 1 species